GCCAGACUUGGAACCGGGAGAGGUAAGAGGUACGUACAGGGGUAGGAGUGAAAUCUUGUAAUCCCUGUGGGACCACCUGUGGCGAAGGCGUCUUACCUGAACGGGUUCGACGGUGAGGGACGAAAGGCUGGGGGCACGAACCGGAUUAGAUACCCGGGUAGUCCCAGGCCGUAAACGAUGCUCGCUAGGUGUCAGGCGAUGGCGCGACCGUGUCCUGGUGCCGCAGGGAAGCCGUGAAGCGAGCCACCUGGGAAGUACGGCCGCAAGGCUGAAACUUAAAGGAAUUGGCGGGGGAGCACAACAACGGGUGGAGCCCUGCGGUUUAAUUGGACUCAACGCCGGACAACUCACCGGGGGCGACAGCAAUAUGUAGGCCAAGCUGAAGACUUUGCCUGAAUCGCUGAGUGGUGGUGCAUGG
rnacentral:rRNA from 1 species